rnacentral:rRNA from 1 species
CCUACGGGUGGCUGCAGUAGGGAAUAUUGCUCAAUGGGGGAAACCCUGAAGCAGCAACGCCGCGUGGAGGAUGGAGGUUUUCGGAUUGUAAACUCCUUUUGUUAGAGAAGAUAAUGACGGUAUCUAACGAAUAAGCACCGGCUAAAUCCGUGCCAGCAGCCGCGGCAAUACGGCAGGUGCCAGCGUUACUCAGAAUCACUGGGCGUAAAGAGCGAGUUGGGGGGAUAGCAAGUCAGAUGUGAAAUCCUAUGGCUUAACCAUAGAACUGCAUUUGAAACUGUUAUUCUAGAGUAUGGGAGAGGUAUGUGGAAUGCUUGGUGUAGGGGUAAAAUCCGUAGAGAUCAAGAGGAAUACUCAUUGCGAAGGCGACCUGCUAGAGCAUAACUGACGCUGAUGCGCGAAAGCGUGGGGAGCGAACAGGAUUAGAUACCCGGGUAGUC